GGCGACGUGGCCAAGUGGUUAAGGCGGAGGUUUGCAAAACCUCUAUUCCCCGGUUCGAAUCCGGGCGUCGCCUCCA
rnacentral:tRNA from 1 species